rnacentral:misc_RNA from 1 species
AAAGUCGUAACAAGGUUUCCGUAGGUGAACCUGCGGAAGGAUCAUUACCUAGAAACUGCGCGGAGGGGACGCCGGUCGCAAGGCCACGCUGCCCCCCUUAACGCUACAACCCCUUGUGAAACACCCCUGUUGCUUCGGCGGCUCCUUCCUUCCCCACUAGUGGAGGUGGGAAGGGUCAGUCCGCCGGUAGCCUACCGCGAAAACUACUUUGCAAAAAGCCAUGCUCCUCACGGGGCAAAGUCUGAACACAAAGUCGAAUGACAAACUUAAAACUUUCAACAACGGAUCUCUUGGUUCCC